GGUUGACCUCGGAUCAUGUAGGGAUACCCGCUGAACUU
rnacentral:rRNA from 1 species